rnacentral:snRNA from 1 species
AUCACUUCUCGGCCUUUUGGCUAAGAUCAAGUGUAGUAUCUGGUGGCCUUCCCCUUCCACUUCUCAUGGAAGCUCAGGGUGGCUGCACUUCUA